GAUGAACGCUGGCGGCGUGCCUAAUACAUGUAAGUCGAGCGAAUGGAUUAAGAGCUUGCUCUUAUGAAGUUAGCGGCGGACGGGUGAGUAACACGUGGGUAACCUGCCCAUAAGACUGGGAUAACUCCGGGAAACCGGGGCUAAUACCGGAUAACAUUUUGAACCGCAUGGUUCGAAAUUGAAAGGCGGCUUCGGCUGUCACUUAUGGAUGGACCCGCGUCGCAUUAGCUAGUUGGUGAGGUAACGGCUCACCAAGGCAACGAUGCGUAGCCGACAUGAGAGGGUGGUCGGCCACACUGGGACGGAGACACGGCCCAGACUCCUACGGGAGGCAGCAGUAGGGAAUCUUCCGCAAUGGACGAAAGUCUGACGGAGCAACGCCGCGUGAGUGAUGGAGGCUUUCGGGUCGUAAAACUCUGUUGUUAGGGAAGAACAAGUGCUAGUUGAAUAAGCUGGCACCUUGACGGUACCUAACCAGAAAGCCACGGCUAACUACGUGCCAGCCGCCGCAGUAA
rnacentral:rRNA from 1 species